UACAGAGGGUGCAAGCGUUAAUCGGAAUUACUGGGCGUAAAGCGUGCGUAGACGGUUGUGUAAGUCAGAUGUGAAAGCCCCGGGCUCAACCUGGGAAUGGCAUUUGAGACUGCAUAGCUAGGAUGCGGAAGAGGGAAGUGGAAUUUCCGGUGUAGCGGUGAAAUGCGUAGAUAUCGGAAGGAACAUCAGUGGCGAAAGCGACUUCCUGGUCCAGCAUCGACGUUCAGGCACGAAAGCGUGGGGAGCAAACAGG
rnacentral:rRNA from 1 species